rnacentral:rRNA from 1 species
UACGGGGGGGGCAAGCGUUGUUCGGAAUUACUGGGCGUAAAGGGCGCGUAGGCGGCCUUCUAAGUCGGACGUGAAAUCUCGGAGCUUAACUCCGAAACUGCAUUCGAUACUGCCGUGCUUGAGGACUGGAGAGGAGACUGGAAUUUACGGUGUAGCAGUGAAAUGCGUAGAUAUCGUAAGGAAGACCAGUGGCGAAGGCGGGUCUCUGGACAGUUCCUGACGCUGAGGCACGAAGGCCAGGGGAGCAAACGGG